rnacentral:rRNA from 1 species
UACGUAGGGGGCAAGCGUUGUCCGGAAUCAUUGGGCGUAAAGAGCGUGUAGGCGGUCCGGUAAGUCGGCUGUGAAAGUCCAGGGCUCAACCCUGGGAUGCCGGUCGAUACUGCCGGACUAGAGUUCGGAAGAGGCGAGUGGAAUUCCCGGUGUAGCGGUGAAAUGCGCAGAUAUCGGGAGGAACACCGAUGGCGAAGGCAGCUCGCUGGGACGUUACUGACGCUGAGACGCGAAAGCGUGGGGAGCAAACAGG